rnacentral:rRNA from 1 species
GAUGAACGCUGGCGGCGUGCCUAAUACAUGCAAGUCGAGCGAACAGACGAGGAGCUUGCUCCUCUGACGUUAGCGGCGGACGGGUGAGUAACACGUGGAUAACCUACCUAUAAGACUGGGAUAACUUCGGGAAACCGGAGCUAAUACCGGAUAAUAUAUUGAACCGCAUGGUUCAAUAGUGAAAGACGGUUUUGCUGUCACUUAUAGAUGGAUCCGCGCCGCAUUAGCUAGUUGGUAAGGUAACGGCUUACCAAGGCAACGAUGCGUAGCCGACCUGAGAGGGUGAUCGGCCACACUGGAACUGAGACACGGUCCAGACUCCUACGGGAGGCAGCAGUAGGGAAUCUUCCGAAAUGGGCGAAAGCCUGACGGAGCAACGCCGCGUGUGUGAUGAAGGUCUUCGGAUCGUAAAACUCUGUUAUUAGGGAAGAACAAAUGUGUAAGUAACUAUGCACGUCUUGACGGUACCUAAUCAGAAAGCCACGGCUAACUACGUG